rnacentral:rRNA from 1 species
GUGCCAGCCGCCGCGGUAAUACGGAGGAUGCGAGCGUUAUCCGGAUUUGUUGGGUUUAAAGGGUGCGUAGGCUGUUUGUCAAGUCAGGGGUGAAAUGCCGGUGCUCAACACCGAGCUGCCCUUGAUACUGUCAGGCUUGAAUUCGGAUGCCGUGGGAGGAAUGAGUAGUGUAGCGGUGAAAUGCAUAGAUAUUACUCAGAACACCGAUUGCGAAGGCAUCUCACGAAUCCGACAUUGACGCUGAGGCACGAAAGCGUGGGGAUCAAACAGGAUUAGAUACCCUGGUAGUCCACGCAGUAAACGAUGAUAACUAACCGUCGGCGAUAGACAGUCGGUGGCCAAGCGAAAGCGAUAAGUUAUCCACCUGGGGAGUACGACCGCAAGGUUGAAACUCAAAGGAAUUGACGGGGGCCCGCACAAGCGGAGGAACAUGUGGUUUAAUUCGAUGAUACGCGAGGAACCUUACCCGGGCUCGAACGGCACAGGAAGGACCCAGAGAUGGGAACGCCCUUCGGGGUCUGUGUCGAGGUGCUGCAUGGUUGUCGUCAGCUCGUGCCGUGAGGUGUCGGCUCAAGUGCCAUAACGAGCGCAACCCUUGUUGAUAGUUACCGUCAGGUUAAGCUGGGGACUCUAUCAAGACUGCCACCGCAAGGUGUGAGGAAGGAGGGGAUGACGUCAAAUCAGCACGGCCCUUACGUCCGGGGCGACACACGUGUUACAAUGGGGGGUACAGAAGGCAGCUACCUGGUGACAGGAUGCGAAUCCCGAAAGCCCUCCUCAGUUCGGACUGGAGUCUGCAACCCGACUCCACGAAGCUGGAUUCGCUAGUAAUCGCGCAUCAGCCAUGGCGCGGUGAAUACGUUCCCGGGCCUUGCACACACCGCCCGU